GUGGGGAAUAUUGGACAAUGGGGGAAACCCUGAUCCAGCCAUGCCGCGUGAAUGAUGAAGGCCUUCGGGUUGUAAAGUUCUUUUGGAGGGGACGAUGAUGACGGUACCCUCAGAAUAAGCUCCGGCUAACUUCGUGCCAGCAGCCGCGGUAAUACGAAGGGAGCUAGCGUUGUUCGGAAUUACUGGGCGUAAAGGGCGCGUAGGCGGUUUGGUCAGUCAGAUGUGAAAGCCCAGGGCUUAACCCUGGAACUGCGUUUGAUACUGCCAAGCUUGAAUUCGGGAGAGGUGAGUGGAAUUCCCAGUGUAGAGGUGAAAUUCGUAGAUAUUGGGAAGAACACCAGUGGCGAAGGCGGCUCACUGGACCGACAUUGACGCUGAGGCGCGAAAGCGUGGGGAGCAAACAGGAUUAGAUACCCGAGUAGUCC
rnacentral:rRNA from 1 species